AGGUGAUGGACAACAGGUUGAUAUUCCUGUACUACCGAUAACCGUUAGUGGGAAGGGGUGACACAGAAGGAUAAGCUAAGCACACUGUUGGUUAUGUGUGCCCAAGCAUUGAGGCAGUCAAAGUAGUUAAAUCCGCUUUGAUAAUGCUGGGAUGUGAUGGGGAGCGAAAUUUAGUAGCGAAGUAGCUGAUUUCACACUGUCAAGAAAAGUCUCUAUCUAGGGUAAAGGUACCCGUACCGCAAACCGACACAGGUGGGUGAGGAGAGUAUCCUAAGGCCAGCGAGAGAACUGUUGUUAAGGAACUCGGCAAAAUGACCCCGUAACUUAGGGAUAAGGGGUGCCACCAUCAGGUGGCCGCAGAGAAUAGGCCCAAGCGACUUUUUACCAAAAACAUAGGUUUCUGAUAAGUCGAAAGACUAUGUAUAGGAGGUGACGCCUGCCCGGUGCUGGAAUGUUAAGCGGAUCUGUUAGAGCAAUUUAAGUAGUGAACGUAAGCUCCAGUAAACCGCGGCCGUAACUAUAACGGUCCUAAGGUAGCGAAAUUCCUUGUCGGGUAAGUUCCGACCCGCACGAAAGGCGUAACGAUUUGGGCACUGUCUCAACAACAGACUCGGUGAAAUUGUAAUUCCGGUGAAGAUGCCGGAUACCUGCGACAGGACGGAAAGACCCCAUGGAGCUUUACUGUAGCUUGACAUUGGGUCUUGGUACUACAUGUACAGGAUAGGUGGGAGGCUUUGAAACCAGGACGCCAGUUUUGGCGGAGCCAUCCUUGGGAUACCACCCUUGUAGUACUGGGACUCUAACCAUAGGCCAUGAAUCUGGUCUUGGGACACUGUCAGGUGGGCAGUUUGACUGGGGCGGUCGCCUCCCAAAAGG
rnacentral:rRNA from 1 species